rnacentral:rRNA from 1 species
AUUGAACGCUGGCGGCAGGCCUAACACAUGCAAGUCGAGCGGAUGACGGGAGCUUGCUCCUGGAUUCAGCGGCGGACGGGUGAGUAAUGCCUAGGAAUCUGCCUGGUAGUGGGGGACAACGUUUCGAAAGGAACGCUAAUACCGCAUACGUCCUACGGGAGAAAGCAGGGGACCUUCGGGCCUUGCGCUAUCAGAUGAGCCUAGGUCGGAUUAGCUAGUUGGUGAGGUAAUGGCUCACCAAGGCGACGAUCCGUAACUGGUCUGAGAGGAGGAUCAGUCACACUGGAACUGAGACACGGUCCAGACUCCUACGGGAGGCAGCAGUGGGGAAUAUUGGACAAUGGGCGAAAGCCUGAUCCAGCCAUGCCGCGUGUGUGAAGAAGGUCUUCGGAUUGUAAAGCACUUUAAGUUGGGAGGAAGGGUUGUAGAUUAAUACUCCGCAAUUUUGACGUUACCGACAGAAUAAGCACCGGCUAACUCUGUGCCAGCAGCCGCCGUAACAC